UUGGUAUGGAAAUAAAAACAUUUGAUAGCUGUCGAAUUCCGCUCGCGGAAUAACUAAAAAUUUCCGUAAGCUGAAUAGAAUACCAACCCUUAAUACCAUCAAAUCUGACCGGCUGUUAACAGCUGUUCGUGUGAGAUCAUCUUUUUAAAUGUGCCUUAGGUUGCGGAUAUUGGAAUGCUUCAUACGGAGUAGCUCCAAAUGUAGUCGUGGACAAGCAGUGGUAUGGAGUGAAGAUUCUCAGUGAAAAGCCAGACGUCAGCUUCAGGGCCAAUGACCAUCAUGUUUCCGCGGCAAUCGGUCAUAUUGACCGGAACGAGCUUGCUCACCUAUAGCAGCCUGCGAGGAUCGCUACCUCCGCAUGAUAUAAUGGGGCUGAAACAAUCACAUACAUGCAAAACAUGGUAGUAGGUGGCACCAGGUUUCAAUAUCUUGAUACCCGGUCCGGGAUAACUGUGAGUAUCUCACACAUGUAUGGACGCAAUUUAGAGCUUCAAUUUGUGUGGAACGACCUUGUCCACCAGGUUACAACCACAACAACUUUGAGAUAUUCGCAAGGCCAUAUGGUUACAGCCAGAUCCAAUAGUGAGAAAACAAAUUUCAUACCGCACCGAUGACGUUGGAACAGGCACAACUCCCUGCAGAGAUAAAGAAGGAAAUCUGAUAAAAACUACAGAUAGUGUGCUGAGGAUAUGGAAAAAACUUUUCCUCCCCCUGCUGGUUGCUGUUACAAUAGGCGUUGUACAUUGAAACAGGUGGCAGCCCUUGCCGAUGAAGAACUCAAUCGUACAAGCGGCUGCCAUGGAAUUGCCCAGCUGCUGGUAUUUGAUAGCAGCGUCGGCGAGGUUUCCGCAGAACCAAUCUUUGAUGGUGAUGGAAUAGAAUGUAAUUGCAUAGUUAGAAUGAGGUCUGCGAUGCAGUGACUCUGCUGAAAAACAACAGGGCAGCAGGGGCUGAUGGGUUGCCAGCUGAAGAAAGAACGCAUACCCCAUGAUUAGAAUCUUACCAUACUAUGUCCCAUGACAUAAUUACCAGGUAGUGUACCGUAAACAGUUGAGUAAAAUUUUUUCUCGCGAAGUACACUAUCUGUCAACUAGUUUUGGUUGUGUGUGUGUAUUAUAGUUAAGAAGCAUAAUAUACACAAACAACGAAAAAUGGCGCGAACUAGUAACAUACUCAAAAACAGAGUUGCGCUAAACACUGAUUUUGACAGAUAAUGCACUCAAUAUUUUGUUGUUGGGCAACUGCCACUACCUGUAAAUGAAUAUAUCUUGCUUACAAAAUCACCCUUUAUAAUAGCUUAGGGUUGGUAUUCUUUUCAGCUUUUCACGUGCACAACUGUCAAACUCCAUAAAAAUGUAUAAGCUAAAAACAUGUGAAAUAAAUAAAUGCUAGUUUUACGCCAAUGGCUUAAAAGGAGCACUUAAAAACAACCAA